rnacentral:rRNA from 1 species
UACGUAGGGUGCUAGCGUUGUCCGGAAUUAUUGGGCGUAAAGAGCUCGUAGGCGGCUAGUCGCGUCGGCUGUGAAAACCUGGGGCUCAACCCCGGGCCUGCAGACGAUACGGGCUAGCUAGAAUUCGGUAGGGGAGACUGGAAUUCCUGGUGUAGCGGUGAAAUGCGCAGAUAUCAGGAGGAACACCGGUGGCGAAGGCGGGUCUCUGGGCCGAUAUUGACGCUGAGGAGCGAAAGCGUGGGGAGCGAACAGG